rnacentral:lncRNA from 1 species
AGAGAGACAUCUGAGCCUCAAAUAUUCCUUCGGUGUGGAUAGUAGCAUCGCAGGUCACCUCUUCUGAUUUCCCAUUUGACAUCCACCAAGUCAUUCCACCUCUCCAGACUUGAAUUUCUUCUCCCUUGAGACAGGGACAAUAAUGCCCUCAUCUCAUAGCAUCCAGUGAGCUCCUCCUUGGACUGUCUCUCCCUCCACCAAGGGAACACCGAACGAGUGAGGACAGGCCGGCUUGCCAGAGUAAGUUGUCCGCUGUUUAUAUUUGGAAAGGGAUAUGCCAUUCCGGAGUAAUUCCAAGCAGCCUCCUUCCUGGCUAAGAUUUCCAAAGGAUCUCGGACAUUGGAGGGAAAUCAGGGGGUGAGUAACCCUCCAGCUGUGCUCUAAUCACACCUUUCAAUACUAAUUAUCCCCUCAUUGAUUCUGAUGACAUUCACUGGCCAAGGCAAUUCCUCUUCAGUGUUUUGCAUCAGUGGUUUAAGACAGUGAUCUAAAGGGACAGAAUCCCCAAGCUGGGCCUUGAUAAGCAGGAAAUGAAAGCUUGUUUGCAAAUACGAUUGGGGAACCCUGAAAGGCAAUUUAAAGUGGUGUUUGCCUUUAGGUAACCAAUCUGAAUACACCAAUGCAUGGAUAAAGAAUGCCAGAAGCCAGGAGAGGGAACUUAUUUUUUUUCCCUUCUCCUGAAAUAGGGUCUCCUGAAAUAG